rnacentral:rRNA from 1 species
UACGUAGGGGGCUAGCGUUGUCCGGAUUUAUUGGGCGUAAAGAGCGUGUAGGCGGCUGGGUAGGUCCGCUGUGAAAACUCGAGGCUUAACCUCGAGACGUCGGUGGAAACCAUCCAGCUAGAGUCCGGAAGAGGAGAGUGGAAUUCCUGGUGUAGCGGUGAAAUGCGCAGAUAUCAGGAAGAACACCCGUGGCGAAAGCGGCUCUCUGGGACGGUACUGACGCUGAGACGCGAAAGCCAGGGGAGCGAACGGG